rnacentral:RNase_P_RNA from 2 species
UAAGUAAUUGAGACAGUUACCCCGCACCCUUUAGGUCGGGGAGGAAAGUCCAGGCACUAUAGAGCAUUGUAUCCCGCCAAAUGGCGGGACCGGGUGACCGAGGGAAAGUACAACAGAAACAUACCGCUAACCGCCGCAAGGUAGGAGUAAGGUUGAAAUCGUGAGGUAAGAGCUCACGCGUGUCCAUGGUAACAUGGUGCGGUGGAAACCCUACAUGGUGCAAGUCCGGUGGGCCUCAACUAUCAUCAUAGUUUGCUCGACUAGGUGGCCUGAGGUCCGGACGCUUAGAUAGAUGCUGUCAAAACAGAACCUGGCUUAUCGAUUACUUAGGGC